CCUACGGGAGGCAGCAGUGAGGAAUAUUGGUCAAUGGACGCAAGUCUGAACCAGCCAUGCCGCGUGCAGGAAGACGGCUCUAUGAGUUGUAAACUGCUUUUGUCCGAGGGUAAAUCCCGAUACGUGUAUCGGGUUGAAAGUAUCGUACGACUAAGGAUCGGCUAACUCCGUGCCAGCAGCCUCGGUAAUACGGAGGCUUCAAGCGUUAUCCGGAUUUAUUGGGUUUAAAGGGUGCGUAGGCGGUUCGAUAAGUUAGAGGUGAAAGCCCGGGGCUCAACUCCGGCACUGUCUCUGAUACUGGCGGGCUAGAGUUUAGUUGCGGUAGGCGGAAUGUAUGGUGUAGCGGUGAAAUGCAUAGAGAUCAUACAGAACACCGAUUGCGAAGGCAGCUUACCAAACUACGACUGACGUUGAGGCACGAAAGCGUGGGGAGCAAACAGGAUUAGAUACCCCAGUAGUC
rnacentral:rRNA from 1 species